rnacentral:rRNA from 1 species
AGACAGGUGCUGCAUGGCUGUCGUCAGCUCGUGUUGUGAAAUGUUGGGUUAAGUCCCGCAACGAGCGCAACCCUUAUCCUUUGUUGCCAGCGGUUAGGCCGGGAACUCAAAGGAGACUGCCAGUGAUAAACUGGAGGAAGGUGGGGAUGACGUCAAGUCAUCAUGGCCCUUACGACCAGGGCUACACACGUGCUACAAUGGCAUAUACAAAGAGAAGCGACCUCGCGAGAGCAAGCGGACCUCAUAAAGUAUGUCGUAGUCCGGAUUGGAGUCUGCAACUCGACUCCAUGAAGUCGGAAUCGCUAGUAAUCGUAGAUCAGAAUGCUACGGUGAAUACGUUCCCGGGCCUUGUACACACCGCCCGUCACACCAUGGGAGUGGGUUGCAAAAGAAGUAGGUAGCUUAACCUUCGGGAGGGCGCUUACCACUUUGUGAUUCAUGACUGGGGUGAAGUCGUAACAAGGUAACCGUAGGGGAACCUGCGGUUGG